AAAGCUCAAAUUUAAAAUCUGGCAGUCUUUGGCUGUCCGAGUUGUAAUUUAGAGAAGUGUUACCCGUGCUGGACCAUGUAUAAGUUUCCUGGAAUGGGGCAUCAUAGAGGGUGAGAAUCCCGUCUUUGACAUGGACUGCCAGUACAUUGUGGUAUGCUCUCAACGAGUCGAGUUGUUUGGGAAUGCAGCUCAAAAUGGGUGGUAAAUUCCAUCUAAAGCUAAAUAUAGACGAGAGACCGAUAGCGAA
rnacentral:rRNA from 1 species